GUGUUAGGGCACGAAGAAUUUUGAUUUCUUAGGAGAGGAAUAAACCUCCUG
rnacentral:tRNA from 1 species